CCAGGUCAGGGGCUGCCCCGCGUCGCUGAGGAGGGAGCUGUGGCGCGUCUCCGUGCGGGAUUGUGCAAACCCCGUGCUGACGGCCCCAGAUACUAAUUUUUUUCUCUCUCCGCUCUAUUAAUAGCCGUGGAGAAGUGAGAAAUAGCUACGACAAAGCCUGUGGCUGCAGAUUCCUGUUUCCGGGCCAAGAGCCGGUAGUUCAGAGUAACCCACCCCUGACUCAACCCUUCCACCCGGGGAAGAGCCCCCGCUGCCGGGAUUUCCCGGCGGCACCGAGGGCUAUAAGAGCAGGACGCGGGUACCGGGGAGGGCAGAAGCCGCGGAGCCUGCGCGCAGCCCCGCACACGCCGAGGCCAUGCUGCCGGCCAGGAGCGUCGUUGGCCCUUCCUUUUUCGGUGUCUACCCCCGCAAGGCACAGCUGACUCCAUUUCUUACCAGCCGUCCCCCAAUUACGAAAGCAGGCACCAACAGUGGGCUUCUUGUCCACUUUGUCUGCUUCCAUGGGUAGAGACCAGUCCAGCUGGGAGAUCCAGGAUUGAGACCUCGCUGACGCUUCACCUUUCUCCCCAUUGCACCGUUUCCCCCCGCCUGCCGGAGGAAGCCCCAGGGUGGAGGUGGAGGCCCCGGUGCCAGCCCUGCUUGGGAAGGAAGCAGAUGCCGGGAGGUCGGCGAGAGUUGGCAGCAACGUUACCCGCUUCCUGGCUGGGGUGGGACACUUCUGUCAGCAAGGAGAGGAGCUCUGCUCUUCCCCUUCUCAGAGUAGUGUAUCAUGGUUGGGAGGUACCAAAUAACUCCCGUAAAAUGCUGUCCCGGCGAUGCUCUGCUUAAUGCUGCCGAUGGGACAGGAAUUUUGGUAUUUCUGCAAAUCUUUACUGUCUGUCUUGUCCAAAGCCAACAAAAUAAACAAUGCCAAGUCUACCUCGGAGAAGUUUCUUGGGGACC